rnacentral:rRNA from 1 species
CACGAAGCGGUGGAGCAUGUGGCUUAAUUCGACGCAACGCGAAGAACCUUACCAGGGCUUGACAUCCCCUGACCGCGUAUGAAAGUACGUUUUCACCCUCGGGUGACAGGGAGACAGGUGGUGCAUGGUUGUCGUCAGCUCGUGUCGUGAGAUGUUGGGUUAAGUCCCGCAACGAGCGCAACCCCUACGUUUAGUUGCUAACGCGUGAAGGCGAGCACUCUAGACGAACUGCCGUUGACAAAACGGAGGAAGUGGGGAUGACGUCAAAUCAUCAUGCCCCUUAUGUUCUGGGCUACACACGUGCUACAAUGGCCGGUACAGACGGACGCAAAGCCGCGAGGCGGAGCAAAUCCGAAAAAGCCGGUCUCAGUUCGGAUUGCAGGCUGCAAUUCGCCUGCAUGAAGUCGGAAUCGUUAGUAAUCGCAGGUCAGCAUACUGCGGUGAAUACGUUCCCGGGCCUU